AUUGAACGCUGGCGGCAUGCCUUACACAUGCAAGUCGAACGGUAACAGGUCUUCGGAUGCUGACGAGUGGCGAACGGGUGAGUAAUACAUCGGAACGUGCCCGAUCGUGGGGGAUAACGAAGCGAAAGCUUUGCUAAUACCGCAUAAGAUCUACGGAUGAAAGCAGGGGACCGCAAGGCCUUGCGCGAACGGAGCGGCCGAUGGCAGAUUAGGUAGUUGGUGGGAUAAAAGCUUACCAAGCCGACGAUCUGUAGCUGGUCUGAGAGGACGACCAGCCACACUGGGACUGAGACACGGCCCAGACUCCUACGGGAGGCAGCAGUGGGGAAUUUUGGACAAUGGGCGAAAGCCUGAUCCAGCCAUGCCGCGUGCAGGAUGAAGGCCUUCGGGUUGUAAACUGCUUUUGUACGGAACGAAAAGACUCUGGUUAAUACCUGGGGUCCAUGACGGUACCGUAAGAAUAAGCACCGGCUAACUACGUGCCAGCAGCCGCGGUAAUACGUAGGGUGCAAGCGUUAAUCGGAAUUACUGGGCGUAAAGCGUGCGCAGGCGGUUAUAUAAGACAGAUGUGAAAUCCCCGGGCUCAACCUGGGAACUGCAUUUGUGACUGUAUAGCUAGAGUACGGCAGAGGGGGAUGGAAUUCCGCGUGUAGCAGUGAAAUGCGUAGAUAUGCGGAGGAACACCGAUGGCGAAGGCAAUCCCCUGGGCCUGUACUGACGCUCAUGCACGAAAGCGUGGGGAGCAAACAGG
rnacentral:rRNA from 1 species